GAUGAACGCUGGCGGCGUGCCUAAUACAUGCAAGUCGAGCGAACCACUUCGGUGGUGAGCGGCGAACGGGUGAGUAACACGUAGGUUAUCUGCCCAUCAGACGGGGACAACGAUUGGAAACGAUCGCUAAUACCGGAUAGGACGAAAGUUUAAAGGUGCUUCGGCACCACUGAUGGAUGAGCCUGCGGCGCAUUAGCUAGUUGGUAGGGUAAAGGCCUACCAAGGCGACGAUGCGUAGCCGACCUGAGAGGGUGAACGGCCACACUGGGACUGAGACACGGCCCAGACUCCUACGGGAGGCAGCAGUAGGGAAUCUUCGGCAAUGGGCGAAAGCCUGACCGAGCAACGCCGCGUGAAUGAUGAAGGCCUUCGGGUUGUAAAUUACUGUUAUAAGGGAAGAAUGGCUCUAGUAGGAAAUGGACUAGAAGUGUGACGGUACCUUAUGAGAAAGCCACGGCUAACUACGUGCCAGCAGCCGCGGUAAACGUCUACUG
rnacentral:rRNA from 1 species